GACGAACGCUGGCGGCGCGCUUAACACAUGCAAGUCGAGCGAGAACCAGGGCUUCGGCCCUGGGGACAGCGGCGAACGGGUGAGUAACACGUGGAUAACCUGCCCUCGGCACCGGGAUAGCCCGGGGAAACCCGGAUUAAUACCGGAUGGCCCUUCCAGCCCUCGAGCUGGAGGGAAAAGGGAGCUUCGGCCUCCGGCCGAGGAUGGGUCCGCGGCGGAUUAGCUUGUUGGCGGGGUAACGGCACACCAAGGCGACGAUCCGUAGCUGGUCUGAGAGGACGAUCAGCCACACUGGGACUGAGACACGGCCCAGACUCCUACGGGAGGCAGCAGUGGGGAAUCUUGCGCAAUGGGCGAAAGCCUGACGCAGCGACGCCGCGUGAGGGAAGAAGGCCUUCGGGUUGUAAACCUCUUUCAGGAGGGACGAAGCUACUCGGGUUAAUAGCCCAGAGGGUGACGGUACCUCCAGAAGAAGCCCCGGCUAACUACGUGCCAGCCGCCGCCGUAA
rnacentral:rRNA from 1 species